rnacentral:rRNA from 1 species
UUGCACAAUAGGGCGCGAAGACCUGAUGCAGCCAUGCCGCGUGUAUGAGAAGGCUCGGUUGUAAGUACUUCUAGCAGUGAGGAAGGUGGGUAGUGUUAAUUAGCAUACUCAUUUGUACGUUAGCUCGCAGAAGAAGCACCGGCUAACUCCGUGCCAGCAGCCGCGGUAAUACGGAGGGUGCGAGCGUUAAUCGGAAUUACUGGGCGUAAAGCGCAUGCAGGUGGUUUGUUAAGUCAGAUGUGAAAGCCCGGGGCUCAACCUCGGAAUUGCAUUUGAAACUGGCAAACUAGAGUACUGUAGAGGGGGUAGAAUUUCAGGUGUAGCGGUGAAAUGCGUAGAGAUCUGAAGGAAUACCGGUGGCGAAGGCGGCCCCCUGGACAGAUACUGACACUCAGAUGCGAAAGCGUGGGGAGCAAACAGGAUUAGAUACCCUGGUAG